rnacentral:rRNA from 1 species
GACGAACGCUGGCGGCGUGCUUAACACAUGCAAGUCGAACGAUGAUGCCCAGCUUGCUGGGUGGAUUAGUGGCGAACGGGUGAGUAACACGUGAGUAACCUGCCCCUGACUCUGGGAUAAGCGUUGGAAACGACGUCUAAUACUGGAUAUGAYYACCGGCCGCAUGGUCUGGUGGUGGAAAGAUUUUUUGGUUGGGGAUGGACUCGCGGCCUAUCAGCUUGUUGGUGAGGUAAUGGCUCACCAAGGCGACGACGGGUAGCCGGCCUGAGAGGGUGACCGGCCACACUGGGACUGAGACACGGCCCAGACUCCUACGGGAGGCAGCAGUGGGGAAUAUUGCACAAUGGGCGAAAGCCUGAUGCAGCAACGCCGCGUGAGGGAUGACGGCCUUCGGGUUGUAAACCUCUUUUAGUAGGGAAGAAGCGAAAGUGACGGUACCUGCAGAAAAAGCACCGGCUAACUACGUGCCAGCAGCCGCGGUAAUACGUAGGGUGCAAGCGUUGUCCGGAAUUAUUGGGCGUAAAGAGCUCGUAGGCGGUUUGUCGCGUCUGCUGUGAAAUCCCGAGGCUCAACCUCGGGCUUGCAGUGGGUACGGGCAGACUAGAGUGCGGUAGGGGAGAUUGGAAUUCCUGGUGUAGCGGUGGAAUGCGCAGAUAUCAGGAGGAACACCGAUGGCGAAGGCAGAUCUCUGGGCCGUAACUGACGCUGAGGAGCGAAAGCGUGGGGAGCGAACAGGAUUAGAUACCCUGGUAGUCCACGCCGUAAACGUUGGGCGCUAGAUGUAGGGACCUUUCCACGGUUUCUGUGUCGUAGCUAACGCAUUAAGCGCCCCGCCUGGGGAGUACGGCCGCAAGGCUAAAACUCAAAGGAAUUGACGGGGGCCCGCACAAGCGGCGGAGCAUGCGGAUUAAUUCGAUGCAACGCGAAGAACCUUACCAAGGCUUGACAUACACCGGAAACGGCCAGAGAUGGUCGCCCCCUUGUGGUCGGUGUACAGGUGGUGCAUGGUUGUCGUCAGCUCGUGUCGUGAGAUGUUGGGUUAAGUCCCGCAACGAGCGCAACCCUCGUUCUAUGUUGCCAGCGCGUUAUGGCGGGGACUCAUAGGAGACUGCCGGGGUCAACUCGGAGGAAGGUGGGGAUGACGUCAAAUCAUCAUGCCCCUUAUGUCUUGGGCUUCACGCAUGCUACAAUGGCCGGUACAAAGGGCUGCGAUACCGUAAGGUGGAGCGAAUCCCAAAAAGCCGGUCUCAGUUCGGAUUGAGGUCUGCAACUCGACCUCAUGAAGUCGGAGUCGCUAGUAAUCGCAGAUCAGCAACGCUGCGGUGAAUACGUUCCCGGGCCUUGUACACACCGCCCGUCAAGUCAUGAAAGUCGGUAACACCCGAAGCCGGUGGCCUAACCCUUGUGGAAGGAGCCGUCGAAGGUGGGAUCGGUGAUUAGGACU